GACGAACGCUGGCGGCGUGCUUAACACAUGCAAGUCGAACGGAAAGUCCCUGCGUUUGUGUGGUGCUCGAGUGAGUAACGGGUGAGUAACACGUGAUUAACCUUGCGUUGACAUUGGGGAAACUUUAGGAAACUGGUGUUAAUACCGGAUGUGUGGUCCUGCUGCAUAGUUGUGGUUGGAAAGUUUAGUCGGGUAGGGAUGGAGUGUCGGCUUAUCAGUUGGUUGGUGGGGUAGUGGCUUCUCAAGCCUUUGACGGGUAGGCGGCCUGACAGGGUGACUGGCCACACUGGGACGGACAUACGGACCAGCCUGCUGCGGGAGGGAGCCGUGGGGAAUAUAGUACGAUGGGCGGAAGAAUGAUGCAGCCACCCAGAUUGCGGGAUGACGGCCUUCGGGUUGUAUACCGCUGCUGCCUGUGACGAAGCGUGAGUGACGGUAAUUGAUAAAGAAGCACCGGCUAACUACGUG
rnacentral:rRNA from 1 species